CAAGGCACUCAAAAUUUACAGCAAUUUUAAAUGUUUACUGAGCAUGUACCUGUAAAGCCCUUAUGUGUCAUGAUGCAAUGUUUAUCAAAAAUUCGGACGUCAUUUCGCAAACAAAACAGUAAAUGAAAACGAAAACAGAGAUAUACUGAAUAACAUGAUUUUAUUGAUUGAAUGGCCUCUGAAUAGGCAUUUACAUUAAGAAGCAAUCCCUGGAAAGAGGUAAUCGCACAAUAGAUAAAACAAAAAUUAAUCUAAUGGCAAUGUGAAGUGAUUUCUAUUGGGUUCCAAUUCUGCUAUGACUUGCCCGUCUUCAAGAUCCUCCACGAUGAUCAGCUUUCUGAAAGAGUGAUUGGACUGUUUCCUAUCCUUCAAAAAUUUCCAGUCAUUGGCACGAGAUGAGAUUCAGAGCUACUCAGAACGCAGUCCUUCGCUUAAUCCCUAACUUUUGCCUGGAUCGCCCUUUUCGGGUUUUCGAUCCACCGGGAAUACCCAUUUUUGCCUAAGUUGCCUUUUCAGGUUUUCAACUUUCCGGG
rnacentral:lncRNA from 1 species